CGGUUCUCGGCCAGGGGUGGGUGGGGAAGAGGUGGAAGCAAAGGCUGUGCAGACAAUGGAGAGGGGAAAAGUCGCAUCCCAAAGUUUCUCACAAGCUUAAAAAAGAGAAACGAAAAAUUGACAACUCUUACACAGAAGAGCCCACAAAAGCUGCAGCAGCACCAGGGGUGAAGAAGCAGCGACAGACCCAGGUCUGCAAGACAUUUGGAGGAACUCUUCCCAUCACACAAGGGAGAAAAUGAAGCUCUCUACUGGUCUCUAUCAAAGAAGCUAAAUAUUUCCCUCUCUUUUCUGCAAGUUUCCCAAACCCCAUGACUCUGAUUUCCAGGUCAGAGAGUAAGGUUUUAUUUUUAUUAUUCUUUAUACUUUGCAUUGGAGAGUCCCUAAAAGGCAUUGUGAUGGACUAAUUAUUAUGAGCCUGUUGCAGGCAAGCCAGGAUUUGGGUGUGACAAGAAAUUCAAUCACACCUGCUCAGUGAUCUUUGGGCCCCAAGUCAGCUCCUACGUUCUCCUGACAAACAGCGCCCUCCUCCUCUGCCCUGGAGGUGGUGAGCAAACUCCUACUUUGGGCUGAGCCAGUCUCAGGAUUCUUAAGAGGUUGGGGUAGUGGCCCAAAAUUUAAGAGGAUUGGAAUUCUGUAUGUGGCAUUUCUGCUUUCAUUCCUAAACAGUAGGGAAGGAAAAAUAAGCAUGUGGCAAAUAAGAAACCUCACUAAAAAUUUUAAUUUAAAAGACUGCUGGGUUAAGAGAAAUGAAAAUUUUGUCCAUGUAAAACUUGUCCACAAAUGUUAUAGCAGCAUUAUUCAUAAUAGCCAAAAAGGAGAAACAGUUCAAAUGGCCACCUGGCUGCCAACUCAUGAGUGGAUAAACAACAUGUCGUAUAUCCCCACAAUAGAAUACUAUUUGGAAAUAAAAAAUGAAUGAAAUAUUGGCCCAUGCUACAAAAUGGAUGAACCUUCAAACAUUAUGCUAAGUGAAAGAUGCCAGCCACAAAGAUACACCUAUUGCAUGAUUCCGUUCAUACAAAAUUCCCAGGCUAGGCAUAUCUAUAAAGACAAAAAGUCAUCUAGGGGUCACCAAGGGCUGUAGCUCAGAGCCGAGGCAUUACAAGAUGACAGUUGGGUGGUUCAGAGUUUCUGUUGGGGGGUGAUGAAAAUGUUGUAAAAUUAAUUGUGGUGAAGGUUGAACAACUCUGUGAAUGUACCAAAAACCAUCGGAUUUUGCAAUUUAAAUGGGUAAAUUGCAUGGUGUGCAAACUAUAUCUCAAUAAAGCUGUUAAUUUUUUU